rnacentral:rRNA from 1 species
UUGGGAAUAUUGGACAAUGGGCGAAAGCCUGAUCCAGCCAUGCCGCGUGUGUGAAGAAGGUCUUCGGAUUGUAAAGCACUUUAAGUUGGGAGGAAGGGCAGUAAGCGAAUACCUUGCUGUUUUGACGUUACCGACAGAAUAAGCACCGGCUAACUCUGUGCCAGCAGCCGCGGUAAUACAGAGGGUGCGAGCGUUAAUCGGAUUUACUGGGCGUAAAGCGUGCGUAGGCGGCUAAUUGAGUCGGAUGUGAAAUCCCCGAGCUUAACUUGGGAAUUGCAUUCGAUACUGGUUAGCUAGAGUGUGGGAGAGGAUGGUAGAAUUCCAGGUGUAGCGGUGAAAUGCGUAGAGAUCUGGAGGAAUACCGAUGGCGAAGGCAGCCAUCUGGCCUAACACUGACGCUGAGGUACGAAAGCAUGGGGAGCAAACAGG